ACAUAAAAUUUGUGUAUAUAUGUGUGUCUCUGUGAAGGUUUAUACAUGUGAAUUCAGUCCCUGAAGAGAUCAAAAGAACUCUCCUUGGAAUGAGAGUUAAGAACACUUGGCAACUGCCUGAUGUGGGUGCUGGGAAUUAAACUCCAGUGCUGAGAAGAGUGACUUGUGCUCUUAGUCACAGUAAUCUCUCCUCCCUUGAUUAUAAUAAUAAUAAUAAUAAUAAUAAUAAUAACGAUAAUGAUGAUGAUAAUGAUAAUGAUAAUAUUUUUUUCUUUUUUUUUAAAUAAAUUCAAGGGGCAGGCAAACAUAUAUAGCUGAAGUACAAUGAGCAAAAUUGAGAUAGAUGGAAAGCCUAUUAACCAUUGGCUUUAAUUGGUUCAACCUCUUCAUUAAAUUAGAAAGACUAGAGACAGAUAAUAUACUAAAAUAUUUGAGUGGCUGGAGAGAUGGCUCAGCAGUUAAGAGCACUGACAGCUCUUCCAGAGGUCCUGAGUUCAAUUCCCAGCAACCACAUGGUGGCUCACAACCAUUUGUAAUGGGAUCAAAUGACCCUUUCUGGUAUCUGUUGUCUGAAGAGAACAACAGUACACUCACAUACAU
rnacentral:lncRNA from 1 species